CGGACGCGGGCCAGGGUCGGCAACCUUUCCGUGUAAACGAGCCGUUUAAAAAAAAAAAAAAAAAACAAUUUGCGAAACGACGAUUUUCAAAGAGCCGCAACGGUUAAGAUAAAAAUCAAAAAAAACAAAACGAAACAUACUAUACUACACGAAACGAUUAAUAUAAUAUUUGACUAUGCAAUUUCAUUGGGAAUUGGUAGGCG